UACGUAGGUGACCAGCGUUGUCCGGAUUUACUGGGUGUAAAGAGCGCGCAGGCGGUCGUUCAAGUCGAGUGUGAAAGCCCCCGGCUCAACUGGGGAGGGUCACUCGAUACUGAUCGACUUGAAGGCAGGAGAGGGAAGCGGAAUUCCCGGUGUAGUGGUGAAAUGCGUAGAUAUCGGGAGGAACACCAGUGGCGAAGGCGGCUUCCUGGCCUGUUCUUGACGCUGAGGCGCGAAAGCUAGGGGAGCAAACGGG
rnacentral:rRNA from 1 species